CCUUUAAAUGAGUAGGUGUGUGCAAACUUUUGACUGGCACUGUACAACUCAAAGUGUGAAAAUGGCAUAUCUUGUUUGUGUCCGCCGGCGAUGGUGAGGGGUACUGGGCCAGUUUUCGAAUACAUUUUCAUUUUAUUUAGCCAGGAUAGUCCACUAACAACUGCCACUGUUUUUUUAGGGAGUCCUGGGUUCCGUUUAAUUAAUAAAAACAUACACAUCACAUAAAAGUUGACUCGAUAAAAACAACACACAUCAUACGCGGUAGCGUACAUACAAAAUGACGCUCACAUAUCCUACUAGAUAUGUGUACAGUUCUUUUGAAGGCAGACAUGCUAGCUAGCUGUCGUGUGGAUAUGUCCAGCUUAUUCCAGAGCAGUGGUCCAAAGAACUGCUGACUGCCUUGGAAGGCCAUGUUUUCCCCUGAUGGUUGUGCCAGCAGGUGUGGGUCCCAUUGGUCAUAGGCUUUGGCUGCUGGCGCGUACUGCUGGCAUCCUCUAGUUUCAGUCUAUUAAUAAACUUGGACUCCGUAGUGAAUAUACCAGUAUAUACCCCAGUAUCAAUCCCACGCUCUUCAUGCCUUCAACCAGAUCAUAUGGGGAAGACCAGCACUGGGGUGACUGGAGAAUAGGCAGGGUUUGGAAAGCGUAGGCAAACCUCAACCACCUCUACUGAAAAUGGCCACCCUGUCCAUAUCAUUAUGAGAACAUGAGGGAAGAACAUGAGCCGUAGAGCUGCAUUCCAGUCUAUUUAGCCUCCAUCGGGUCAGGUCGUUUAACUGGAUGAGUGGCUGUGAACACUAAUACAAGGUACUAUGCAUAACCCUUAACCUGCUCCUAUGUCUUUCAGUUCGGACCUCACAAACGUCUACAGAUGCACCAGAGAGCAUCCUGUCAGGCUGGAUUACUGCAUGAGGACCUGAGCCCUAGAACCAUGCCUCAGGACACCCUGGCUUGAUGACUCCUUGCUGUCUCCAGUCCACCUGGUCGUGUUGCUGUUCCAUUUUCAACUGUUCUGCAUGUGGCUAUGGAACCCUGACCUUGUAUCGGACCUGCUGUUUUCAACUCUCUCUCUCUACCGCACCUGCUGUCUCUAAUUCUGAAUGCUCGGCUAUGAAAAGACAACUGACAUUUACUCCUGAGGUGCUGACCUGUUGCACCCUCUACAACCACUGUGAUUAUUAUUAUUAUUAUACCCUGCUGGUCAUCUAAGAACAAUUGAACAUCUUGGCCAUGUACUGUUAUAAUCUCCACCGGCACAGCCAGAAGAGGACUGGCCACCCCUCAGAGCCUGGUUCCUCUCUAGGUUUCUUCCUAGGUUCCUGCCUUUCUAGGGAGUUUUCCUAGCCACCAUGAUUCUACAUCUGCAUUGCUUGCCGUUUGGGGUUUUAAGGCUAAGUUUCUGUAUAGCACUUUGUGACAUCGGCUGAUAUAAAAAGGGCUUUAUGAAUAAAUUUGAUUGAAAUUU